rnacentral:rRNA from 1 species
UCCCCUAGUAACUGCGAGUGAAGCGGGAAAAGCUCAAAUUUAAAAUCUGGCGGUGGUUAGCCGUCCGAAUUGUAGCCUAUAGAAGUGUUGCCUGUGCUGAACCAUGUAUAAGUCUCCUGGGAUGGAGCGUCAGAGAGGGUGAGAAUCCCGUGUUUGACAUGGACUAGCAGUGCAUUGUGGUACGCUCUCAAAGAGUUGAGUUGUUUGGGAAUGCAGCUCUAAAUGGGUGGUAAAUUCCAUCUAAAGCUAAAUAUUGGCGAGAGACCGAUAGCGAACAAGUACCGUGAGGGAAAGAUGAAAAGAACUUUGGAAAGAGAGUUAAACAGUAUGUGAAAUUGUUGAAAGGGAAACGCUUGAAGUCAGUGGCAUUGGGUGGGGAUCAAUGCAGCUCUUUUGCUGGAUGUAAUUCCUAGUCGAUGGGCCAACAUGAGUUCUGACUGCUGGAGAAAGGCGAGGUGAAUGUGGCACUUUUAAGUGUGUUUAUAGCACCUGGUUGUAUGCAGUGGUUGGGACUGAGGAAAAGCAGCGCGCCACUUGGCAGGGUUUCGACCACAUUCGCGCUUAGGAUGUUGGCAAUAAUGGCUUUAAGCGACCCGUCUUGAAACACGGACCAAGGAGUCUAAGAUGCAUGCGAGUGUUUGGGUGUAAAACUCAAGCGCGUAAUGAAAGUGAGAGUUGAGAACCCUGUUGUGGGGAGCAUCGACGCCCGGACCAGAACAUAUUG